rnacentral:rRNA from 1 species
AUUGAACGCUGGCGGCAGGCCUAACACAUGCAAGUCGAGCGGUAGAGAGGUGCUUGCAUCUCUUGAGAGCGGCGGACGGGUGAGUAAUGCCUAGGAAUCUGCCUAGUGGUGGGGGAUAACGUUCGGAAACGGACGCUAAUACCGCAUACGUCCUACGGGAGAAAGCGGGGGAUCUUCGGACCUCGCGCCAUUAGAUGAGCCUAGGUCGGAUUAGCUAGUUGGUGAGGUAAUGGCUCACCAAGGCGACGAUCCGUAACUGGUCGUGAGAGGAUGAUCAGUCACACUGGAACUGAGACACGGUCCAGAUUCCUACGGGAGGCAGCAGUGGGG